rnacentral:tRNA from 2 species
GGGGCUUUAGCUCAGUUGGUAGAGCGCUGCCUUUGCAAGGCAGAUGUCAGGAGUUCGAAUCUCCUAGGCUCCA